GAUGAACGCUGGCGGCGUGCCUAAUACAUGCAAGUCGAGCGAACGGACGAGAAGCUUGCUUCUCUGAUGUUAGCGGCGGACGGGUGAGUAACACGUGGAUAACCUACCUAUAAGACUGGGAUAACUUCGGGAAACCGGAGCUAAUACCGGAUAAUAUUUUGAACCGCAUGGUUCAAAAGUGAAAGACGGUCUUGCUGUCACUUAUAGAUGGAUCCGCGCUGCAUUAGCUAGUUGGUAAGGUAACGGCUUACCAAGGCAACGAUGCAUAGCCGACCUGAGAGGGUGAUCGGCCACACUGGAACUGAGACACGGUCCAGACUCCUACGGGAGGCAGCAGUAGGGAAUCUUCCGCAAUGGGCGAAAGCCUGACGGAGCAACGCCGCGUGAGUGAUGAAGGUCUUCGGAUCGUGAAACUCUGUUAUUAGGGAAGAACAUAUGUGUAAGUAACUGUGCACAUCUUGACGGUACCUAAUCAGAAAGCCACGGCUAACUACGUGCCAGCAGCCGCGGUAAUACGUAGGUGGCAAGCGUUAUCCGGAAUUAUUGGGCGUAAAGCGCGCGUAGGCGGUUUUUUAAGUCUGAUGUGAAAGCCCACGGCUCAACCGUGGAGGGUCAUUGGAAACUGGAAAACUUGAGUGCAGAAGAGGAAAGUGGAAUUCCAUGUGUAGCGGUGAAAUGCGCAGAGAUAUGGAGGAACACCAGUGGCGAAGGCGACUUUCUGGUCUGUAACUGACGCUGAUGUGCGAAAGCGUGGGGAUCAAACAGGAUUAGAUACCCUGGUAGUCCACGCCGUAAACGAUGAGUGCUAAGUGUUAGGGGGUUUCCGCCCCUUAGUGCUGCAGCUAACGCAUUAAGCACUCCGCCUGGGGAGUACGACCGCAAGGUUGAAACUCAAAGGAAUUGACGGGGACCCGCACAAGCGGUGGAGCAUGUGGUUUAAUUCGAAGCAACGCGAAGAACCUUACCAAAUCUUGACAUCCUUUGACAACUCUAGAGAUAGAGCCUUCCCCUUCGGGGGACAAAGUGACAGGUGGUGCAUGGUUGUCGUCAGCUCGUGUCGUGAGAUGUUGGGUUAAGUCCCGCAACGAGCGCAACCCUUAAGCUUAGUUGCCAUCAUUAAGUUGGGCACUCUAAGUUGACUGCCGGUGACAAACCGGAGGAAGGUGGGGAUGACGUCAAAUCAUCAUGCCCCUUAUGAUUUGGGCUACACACGUGCUACAAUGGACAAUACAAAGGGCAGCGAAACCGCGAGGUCAAGCAAAUCCCAUAAAGUUGUUCUCAGUUCGGAUUGUAGUCUGCAACUCGACUACAUGAAGCUGGAAUCGCUAGUAAUCGUAGAUCAGCAUGCUACGGUGAAUACGUUCCCGGGUCU
rnacentral:rRNA from 1 species